UCAGCCUCACUUCCCCCUUAGGCGGAGAGAAGGAUACAGGGAAGCUUGGUAAAAAACAGAAUUAAAGGGAAUGGGUGUCGGAAGCCGAGGGUCUGAAGUUCACGACUCAUAGAAGGGGAGGGGAAUUGAAAGGCUCUCAGUGAAGAAGGUCCAGAAUCCUCCAGAUCAAUUUACCAAUAAGUUCAAUAUGUAAAACAGACCAAUGUGAUUGAAAUGGGAACGAAUGAGAAUUAUUCCAACUUGCCAGCAGUACUUACCCCCUUUUCCACCCUCCCCAAAGGGUGUACUUUGAAAACCAUUGGAAAAACUCACCCCCUCAUGAAUGGCUUGAAAUACCCCAUCUGUAACAUGCUACAUUAAAAUGUUUGCCUAUCUCAGUUACUUUUCUGCCAGUCUCAUACUUUAAUUUAUGGAGCCUAGGACCUUUAUAAUUUAACAAAAGAAAUUGAAACAUCUAAUAAAUAACAACAUGAGAUUUGGGGAGACCCAUAAAAUUCGGAUAUUUCUUUUAAAUGUCUGUUGUUGGCAAGAGUUGAUUAAGUCCCUUCAGUAUAUAUUUGAACUAAAAUUAUUUCUUUUAAAAUUUUUUUUAACGUUUAUUUAUAUUUGAGAGAGAGAGCAUGAAUGAGGGAGGGGCAGAGAGAGAGGGAGACACAGAAUCGGAAGCAGGCUCCAGGCUCUGAGCCAUCAGCCCAGAGCCCGACGCGGGGCUCAAACUCACGGACCGCGAGAUCGUGACCUGAGCUGAAGUCGGACGCUCAACCGACUGAGCCACCCAGGUGCCCCUGAACUAAAAUUAUUUCUGAAUAACUUGGUAAAACUAUAUACUGGUUGAUAAUAUGAUAAUGUGUGUCACAAGUUUACAAUGUGGAUAUUCUUUGAUUGACUAAAUCACUUGUAAGAUUUAACCCUAAAGAAAUAACCAGAAAUGUAUGGGAAAAUUAUGCUGUUGUUUAUUAAUAGUAUUGAAGAUGUUCCAGAUUUUUAACAGUGUGGGACUGGUUAAAUGGACCCUGGCACAGCCAUAAGAUGGAAUACUCAUUAGCCAUUAUAGUGAUGUUAUAAAAAGAAAACUACCUUAUUGAGUACUUGUUACAAAUCUGGCACUGUACCAGUCACCUUAAUUGUAUUGUCUUAAGUCUCACAAUAUCCCUAGGUGAUAGGUAUCACUCCCAUUCAUAGAAGAGAAAACAGUUCAAACAGCUAGUGAAGUAGUAUUGUUGGAAUUCAACCCAUGUCUGCUCUUAACCCUUGUUCUUAAUCACUAUCCUAAUGAUAUGGGAAAAUAUUCACUAUUUACUGAUAAGCAAUUGUUUUAAUGUAGUUUAACUGACAUUGAAAUAAACAACAAGCAGAAAACUUCUGCCUGGGGUGCCUGGAUGACUCAGUCGGUUGGACGCCUGACUCUUGAUUUCGGGUAGGGUCAUGAUCUCAUGGUUUGUGAAUUCAAACCCUGUGUUGGGCUCUGCGCUGACAGGGCAGAGCCUGCUUGGGAUUCUCUCUCCUUUUCUCUCUGCCCCUCCUCCACUCACUCUUUCUCUGUCUCUCUCAAAAUAAAUAAAUAAAAACUUAAAAAAAAAAAACCACAACUUCCUCCUACAUGAAAUUCCUUCCUUUCCAAAGUUACUUAUGCUUGGUAAUGUUUCUCCCCAAAUGAAUCUACCUUUACACAUGUUUUUUAAGUUGAUUUUGGAAGUCUUAAAUGCCUGGUCUAAGAAUUCAAACAGUACCCAUGAUUAUAAAGUUGCUGCACCUUUAUUCGUAAAUUAUAUCACUAUAUAUGAGUGGAUACACUUGUAGGCUCUUUUUUAUGUUCCCUGUAUUCUAUUUCUUGCUCUGGCGUCAACUUGUAGGCAAAGUGAGGGGAGGGAUCUGAAGGUCCAUAUGGCUAACUUUCAACACAGGAGUCCCUUGUGUGUGUGGUGUAGUGCGGUAGUUAGAAGUCCUAGUUCUGGAACUCAACUGGUUAGACUGAGUCCCAGCUUUUAAAUGAAAGUGUUUUCAUUAAAAUGAAGUGGUCAUUGUAGCUACCUCAUAAGAUUGUGGUGAGGAUUAAACUAAUUGACAUGAAAAAUGCUUAGAACAGUGCCUGUGACAUAGUAAAUGCUCAACCAUCAGCUAUUAUUGUCAGGAUGAUGAUGAUGAUGCACAUGUGCAGAGAUGGGAAAGAGAAGAAAAAUUACUUAGGAGUGUUCAUUAUGUACCACAUACCUACAUGAUCUCUCCAUUUGAUCUCAGAUAUUUAUUUGUAUUCCCUUUUAUUAUAAAGGUGAGGAACUUAAAAUUCAGGGUGGUUAUAUAUGGAAGGAAUAGAAUGAAUUAUUAGACCCAUUUCUAGGACUAAGGACAAGAUAAAUACUGAAAGGUGCCUGACCAGGAGAUAGCAAAACACUGAGAAAGGAGAUGAGAAACAGACCUGUAGAGCCACACCACCCUUCGGGACCAAGGGACAAUGUUGUAAUUUUCAGGACUGAGUGGGUGCCCAACCCAAUCUGUAUCAGAAAACUGUGCUUUGGAAAUUCAACUGUUUUUACACUAGUUGUAUUUUCUGUAAAUAUUUCUUGUUUUGUUCUCCUGUUGUACGUACUAAAAUUAUUUCUGAAUUGCCAGUCUGUCUCAUUUGUACUUUGAGGGAGCCAAAAGGAAAAAAGAAUUUUCGGGUAUCUUCUGCAGGAGCUACAUGUCAGACACCAGGUGUCCUGGGCUUCAAAUGCCAGAAGCCCAAGACAGAAAAGAAAUGCAAGGAAGAAAAUCCUCUUCCCCAGAGGCUUCUACAGUGUUCUCUGCUCUAACCUUAGAAGGCUUUGAACAGUGUUGCCUAGAGAAUGGCCUUUUACUUACUCAUCCGUCCAGCAUGACUCAUCCUCAAGACUGUUGAUUUUAGUACACGUGCUACCGAAGCGAGCACAGGAGUCACAGAAUCCGAAGCAGGCUCCAGGCUCCGAGCUGUCAGCAUAGAGCCUAACUUGGAGCUAGAACCCAUGGACCACGAGAUCAUGACCUGAGCUGAAGUUGGAUGCUUAACUGACUGAGUCAUCCAGCCACCUCAAAUGUAAACUAUUAUUAAUAGUGUAAACGUGUAGUAAGUUUUUGUUAACCUCACUCUAUACCUGUUCAAGUCCCCCUUGCUCUUGGUCUCAUCCUUCUGUCUGUUGCCUCCUCCUUUCCUUAAUAAGUGUAAAUGGCUUGGCCCCCACUUGGGCUCUCUUCCCCUCCUCCAUUGUCCUUCUCUUCAACCUUCCUAACCCAGGUUUAAUGCGGCCAUCUUCUCCAUACCUAUACCAUGGCUGCAGAGCUCUGCGAAGAUGAUAUCUAUUGUACAACUUGCAUUUCUUCUACAUCAGUUCAUCCCUCAGUGUGUCCUGCAACUAUUUCUGUGUUUCUCAAACCAGAGCUUUCUGCUUAAUAUAUGUAUCAGCAAAUUUUAAGUGUAGUUUUUAUUUUUGAUAUUGUACUAUUUUGAAUAAAUAUUUUCAAAGUCA